rnacentral:rRNA from 1 species
GAUGAACGCUAGCGGGAGGCCUAACACAUGCAAGCCGAGCGGUAGAGAUUCUUCGGAAUCUUGAGAGCGGCGUACGGGUGCGGAACACGUGUGCAACCUGCCUUUAUCAGGGGGAUAGCCUUUCGAAAGGAAGAUUAAUACCCCAUAAUAUAUUUGAUGGCAUCAUUAGAUAUUGAAAGCUUUUGCGGAUAGAGAUGGGCACGCGCAAGAUUAGAUAGUUGGUGAGGUAACGGCUCACCAAGUCGAUGAUCUUUAGGGGGCCUGAGAGGGUGAUCCCCCACACUGGUACUGAGACACGGACCAGACUCCUACGGGAGGCAGCAGUGAGGAAUAUUGGACAAUGGGUUAGCGCCUGAUCCAGCCAUCCCGCGUGAAGGACGACGGCCCUAUGGGUUGUAAACUUCUUUUGUACAGGGAUAAACCUACUCUCGUGAGAGUAGCUGAAGGUACUGUACGAAUAAGCACCGGCUAACUCCGUG